rnacentral:rRNA from 1 species
GACGAACGCUGGCGGCGUGCCUAAUACAUGCAAGUCGAGCGCAGGAAAUCGACGGAACCCUUCGGGGGGAAGUCGACGGAAUGAGCGGCGGACGGGUGAGUAACACGUAAAGAACCUGCCCUCAGGUCUGGGAUAACCACGAGAAAUCGGGGCUAAUACCGGAUGGGUCAUCGGACCGCAUGGUCCGAGGAUGAAAGGCGCUCCGGCGCCGCCUGGGGAUGGCUUUGCGGUGCAUUAGCUAGUUGGUGGGGUAAUGGCCCACCAAGGCGACGAUGCAAAGCCGACCUGAGAGGGUGAUCGGCCACACUGGGACUGAGACACGGCCCAGACUCCUACGGGAGGCAGCAGUAGGGAGUCUUCCACAAUGGACGAAAGUCUGAUGGAGCAACGCCGCGUGAACGAUGAAGGCCUUCGGGUCGUAAAGUUCUGUUGUAAGGGAAGAACAAGUGCCGCAGGCAAUGGCGGCACCUUGACGGUACCUUGCGAGAAAGCCACGGCUAACUACGUGCCAGCCGCCGCAGUAAUAC